GACGAACGCUGGCGGCGUGCUUAACACAUGCAAGUCGAACGGAAAGGCCCCUUUGGGGGUACUCGAGUGGCGAACGGGUGAGUAACACGUGAGUAACCUGCCCUUGACUUCGGGAUAACUUCAGGAAACUGGGGCUAAUACCGGAUAGGAAUCCUUGCUGCAUGGUGGGGGUUGGAAAGCCUCGGCGGUUUUGGAUGGACUCGCGGCUUAUCAGCUUGUUGGUGGGGUAGUGGCUUACCAAGGCUUUGACGGGUAGCCGGCCUGAGAGGGCGACCGGCCACAUUGGGACUGAGAUACGGCCCAGACUCCUACGGGAGGCAGCAGUGGGGAAUAUUGCACAAUGGGCGGAAGCCUGAUGCAGCAACGCCGCGUGCGGGAUGACGGCCUUCGGGUUGUAAACCGCUUUCAGCAGGGGCGAAGCUUGUGGUGACGGUACCUGCAGAAGAAGCACCGGCUAACUACGUG
rnacentral:rRNA from 1 species